rnacentral:rRNA from 1 species
CGAGUGGCGGACGGGUGAGUAAUGUCUGGGAAACUGCCGAUGGAGGGGGAUAACUACUGGAAACGGUAGCUAAUACCGCAUAACGUCGCAAGACCAAAGAAGGGGGACCUUUGGGCCUCUUGCCAUCGGAUGUGCCCAGAUGGGAUUAGCUAGUAGGUGGGGUAAAGGCUCACCUAGGCGACGAUCCCUAGCUGGUCUGAGAGGAUGACCAGCCACACUGGAACUGAGACACGGUCCAG